GUGCUCGCUUCGGCAGCAUGUAUGCUAAAAUUGGAAUAAUACAGAGAAGAUUAACAUGGCCCCGGUGCAUGGAUGACAAGCAAAUUCAUGAAGCGUUCCAUAUUUUU
rnacentral:snRNA from 1 species